UACGGGGGGGGCAAGCGUUGUUCGGAAUUACUGGGCGUAAAGGGCUCGUAGGCGGCCAACUAAGUCAGACGUGAAAUCCCUCGGCUUAACCGGGGAACUGCGUCUGAUACUGGAUGGCUUGAGUUCGGGAGAGGGAUGUGGGAUUCCAGGUGUAGCGGUGAAAUGCGUAGAUAUCUGGAGGAACACCGGUGGCGAAGGCGGCAUCCUGGACCGACACUGACGCUGAUGAGCGAAAGCCAGGGGAGCAAACGGG
rnacentral:rRNA from 1 species